rnacentral:rRNA from 1 species
GGUUAAGCGACUAAGCGUACACGGUGGAUGCCCUGGCAGUCAGAGGCGAUGAAGGACGUGCUAAUCUGCGAAAAGCGUCGGUAAGGUGAUAUGAACCGUUACAGCCGGCGAUGUCCGAAUGGGGAAACCCAGUGCAAUUCGUUGCACUAUCGUUAACUGAAUACAUAGGUUAACGAGGCGAACCGGGGGAACUGAAACAUCUAAGUACCCCGAGGAAAAGAAAUCAACCGAGAUUCCCCCAGUAGCGGCGAGCGAACGGGGAGCAGCCCAGAGUCUGAAUCAGCUUGUGUGUUAGUGGAACGGUCUGGAAAGUCCGACGGUACAGGGUGAUAGUCCCGUACACCAAAAUGCACAGGCUGUGAACUCGAAGAGUAGGGCGGGACACGUGGUAUCCUGUCUGAAUAUGGGGGGACCAUCCUCCAAGGCUAAAUACUCCUGACUGACCGAUAGUGAACCAGUACCGUGAGGGAAAGGCGAAAAGAACCCCGGCGAGGGGAGUGAAAAAGAACCUGAAACCGUGUACGUACAAGCAGUGGGAGCACCUUCGGGUGUGACUGCGUACCUUUUGUAUAAUGGGUCAGCGACUUAUAUUCUGUAGCAAGGUUAACCGUAUAGGGGAGCCGCAGGGAAACCGAGUCUUAACUGGGCGUUAAGUUGCAGGGUAUAGACCCGAAACCCGGUGAUCUAGCCAUGGGCAGGUUGAAGGUUGGGUAACACUAACUGGAGGACCGAACCGACUAAUGUUGAAAAAUUAGCGGAUGACUUGUGGCUGGGGGUGAAAGGCCAAUCAAACCGGGAGAUAGCUGGUUCUCCCCGAAAGCUAUUUAGGUAGCGCCUCGUGAAUUCAUCUUCGGGGGUAGAGCACUGUUUCGGCUAGGGGGUCAUCCCGACUUACCAACCCGAUGCAAACUACGAAUACCGAAGAAUGUUAUCACGGGAGACACACGGCGGGUGCUAACGUCCGUCGUGAAGAGGGAAACAACCCAGACCGCCAGCUAAGGUCCCAAAGUCAUGGUUAAGUGGGAAACGAUGUGGGAAGGCACAGACAGCCAGGAUGUUGGCUUAGAAGCAGCCAUCAUUUAAAGAAAGCGUAAUAGCUCACUGGUCGAGUCGGCCUGCGCGGAAGAUGUAACGGGGCUAAACCAUGCACCGAAGCUGCGGCAGCGACACUAUGUGUUGUUGGGUAGGGGAGCGUUCUGUAAGCCUGCGAAGGUGUGCUGUGAGGCAUGCUGGAGGUAUCAGAAGUGCGAAUGCUGACAUAAGUAACGAUAAAGCGGGUGAAAAGCCCGCUCGCCGGAAGACCAAGGGUUCCUGUCCAACGUUAAUCGGGGCAGGGUGAGUCGACCCCUAAGGCGAGGCCGAAAGGCGUAGUCGAUGGGAAACAGGUUAAUAUUCCUGUACUUGGUGUUACUGCGAAGGGGGGACGGAGAAGGCUAUGUUAGCCGGGCGACGGUUGUCCCGGUUUAAGCAUGUAGGCUGGUUAUCCAGGCAAAUCCGGAUAAUCAAGGCUGAGGUGUGAUGACGAGGCACUACGGUGCUGAAGUAACAAAUGCCCUGCUUCCAGGAAAAGCCUCUAAGCAUCAGGUAACAUCAAAUCGUACCCCAAACCGACACAGGUGGUCAGGUAGAGAAUACCAAGGCGCUUGAGAGAACUCGGGUGAAGGAACUAGGCAAAAUGGUGCCGUAACUUCGGGAGAAGGCACGCUGGUGUGUAGGUGAAGUCCCUGCGGAUGGAGCUGAGACCAGUCGAAGAUACCAGCUGGCUGCAACUGUUUAUUAAAAACACAGCACUGUGCAAACACGAAAGUGGACGUAUACGGUGUGACGCCUGCCCGGUGCCGGAAGGUUAAUUGAUGGGGUUAUCCGUAAGGAGAAGCUCUUGAUCGAAGCCCCGGUAAACGGCGGCCGUAACUAUAACGGUCCUAAGGUAGCGAAAUUCCUUGUCGGGUAAGUUCCGACCUGCACGAAUGGCGUAAUGAUGGCCAGGCUGUCUCCACCCGAGACUCAGUGAAAUUGAACUCGCUGUGAAGAUGCAGUGUACCCGCGGCAAGACGGAAAGACCCCGUGAACCUUUACUAUAGCUUGACACUGAACAUUGAGCCUUGAUGUGUAGGAUAGGUGGGAGGCUUUGAAGCGUGGACGCCAGUCUGCGUGGAGCCAACCUUGAAAUACCACCCUUUAAUGUUUGAUGUUCUAACGUUGGCCCCUUACCGGGGUUGCGGACAGUGUCUGGUGGGUAGUUUGACUGGGGCGGUCUCCUCCCAAAGCGUAACGGAGGAGCACGAAGGUUAGCUAAUCCUGGUCGGACAUCAGGAGGUUAGUGCAAUGGCAUAAGCUAGCUUGACUGCGAGCGUGACGGCGCGAGCAGGUGCGAAAGCAGGUCAUAGUGAUCCGGUGGUUCUGAAUGGAAGGGCCAUCGCUCAACGGAUAAAAGGUACUCCGGGGAUAACAGGCUGAUACCGCCCAAGAGUUCAUAUCGACGGCGGUGUUUGGCACCUCGAUGUCGGCUCAUCACAUCCUGGGGCUGAAGUAGGUCCCAAGGGUAUGGCUGUUCGCCAUUUAAAGUGGUACGCGAGCUGGGUUUAGAACGUCGUGAGACAGUUCGGUCCCUAUCUGCCGUGGGCGCUGGAGAAUUGAGGGGGGCUGCUCCUAGUACGAGAGGACCGGAGUGGACGCAUCACUGGUGUUCGGGUUGUCAUGCCAAUGGCACUGCCCGGUAGCUAAAUGCGGAAGAGAUAAGUGCUGAAAGCAUCUAAGCACGAAACUUGCCCCGAGAUGAGUUCUCCCUGAGACUUUAAGUCUCCUGAAGGAACGUUGAAGACGACGACGUUGAUAGGCCGGGUGUGUAAGCGCAGCGAUGCGUUGAGCUAACCGGUACUAAUGAACCGUGAGGCUUAACCUU